GGAAUCGCUAGUAAUCGCGGAUCAGCAUGCCGCGGUGAAUACGUUCCCGGGCCUUGUACACACCGCCCGUCACACCAUGAGAGUCGGGAACACCCGAAGUCCGUAGCCUAACCGCAAGGGGGGCGCGGCCGAAGGUGGGUUCGAUAAUUGGGGUGAAGUCGUAACAAGGUAAC
rnacentral:rRNA from 1 species